GAUGAACGCUGGCGGCGUGCCUAAUACAUGCAAGUCGAGCGAACAGACGAGGAGCUUGCUCCUUUGAUGUUAGCGGCGGACGGGUGAGUAACACGUAGGUAACCUACCUAUAAGACUGGGAUAACUUCGGGAAACCGGAGCUAAUACCGGAUAAUAUUUCGAACCGCAUGGUUCGAUAGUGAAAGAUGGCUUUGCUAUCACUUAUAGAUGGACCUGCGCCGUAUUAGCUAGUUGGUAAGGUAACGGCUUACCAAGGCAACGAUACGUAGCCGACCUGAGAGGGUGAUCGGCCACACUGGAACUGAGACACGGUCCAGACUCCUACGGGAGGCAGCAGUAGGUAAUCUUCCGCAAUGGGCGAAAGCCUGACGGAGCAACGCCGCGUGAGUGAUGAAGGUCUUCGGAUCGUAAAACUCUGUUAUUAGGGAAGAACAAACGUGUAAGUAACUGUGCACGUCUUGACGGUACCUAAUCAGAAAGCCACGGCUAACUACGUG
rnacentral:rRNA from 1 species